UACGUAGGGUGCAAGCGUUGUCCGGAAUUAUUGGGCGUAAAGAGCUCGUAGGUGGCGGGUCACGUCGGGUGUGAAAGCCCGGGGCUUAACCCCGGGUCUGCAUUCGAUACGGGUCUGCUGGGGUCCGGCAGGGGAGACUGGAAUUCCUGGUGUAGCGGUGGAAAUGACGCAGAUAUCAGGAGGAACACCGGUGGCGAAGGCGGGUCUCUGGGCCGGUACCGACGCUGGAGGAGCGAAAGCGUGGGGAGCGAACAGG
rnacentral:rRNA from 1 species